UAAAAGGUAAGCUAAUUAAGCUAUUGGGUUCAUACCCCAUUAAUAGAGGAAUAAACCCUCUCCUUUUUA
rnacentral:tRNA from 1 species